AUUGAACGCUGGCGGCAGGCCUAACACAUGCAAGUCGAACGAGUGGCGGACGGGUGAGUAAUGUCUGGGAAACUGCCCGAUGGAGGGGGAUAACUACUGGAAACGGUAGCUAAUACCGCAUACCAUCGGAUGUGCCCAGAUGGGGUUAGCUUGUAGGUGAGGUAACGGCUCACCUAGGCGACGAUCCCUAGAGGGUCUGAGAGGAUGACCAGCAACACUGGAACUGAGACACGGUCCAGACUCCUACGGGAGGCAGAAGUUGGGAAGAUUGCACAAUGGGCGCAAGCCUGAUACAGCCAGGCCGCGUGUAUGAAGAAGGCCUUCGGGUUGUAAAGUACUUUCGUGUGGGAGGCGUUACCCGCAGAAGAAGCACCGGCUAACUCCGUGCCAGCAGCCGCGGUAAUAC
rnacentral:rRNA from 1 species